AUACUUGCCUGGCUGGGAGAUAUCACCUUAAGGAAGGCAGAUUUCACAGGGUGAGGCACAUUCAUUGCAUUCCAGGUGUGUUGAUCCCAGAAAUUAUUCCAAGUAAGAAACUACAGAAUUUAUCUUAAGGAGAUUGUAUAUAUAUAUAUAUAUAUAUU